UACGUAGGGUGCGAGCGUUAAUCGGAAUUACUGGGCGUAAAGCGUGCGCAGGCGGCUUCGCAAGUCAGACGUGAAAUCCCCGGGCUUAACCUGGGAAUGGCGUUUGAAACUACGGAGCUGGAGUAUGGCAGAGGGGGGUGGAAUUCCACGUGUAGCGGUGAAAUGCGUAGAUAUGUGGAGGAACACCGAUGGCGAAGGCAGCCCUCUGGGCCAAUACUGACGCUCAUGCACGAAAGCGUGGGGAGCAAACAGG
rnacentral:rRNA from 1 species